rnacentral:rRNA from 1 species
UGGCGAACGGGUGAGUAACGCGUGAGGAACCUGCCUCAAAGAGGGGGACAACAGUUGGAAACGACUGCUAAUACCGCAUAAGCCCACGGGUCGGCAUCGACCAGAGGGAAAAGGAGCAAUCCGCUUUGAGAUGGCCUCGCGUCCGAUUAGCUAGUUGGUGAGGUAACGGCCCACCAAGGCGACGAUCGGUAGCCGGACUGAGAGGUUGAACGGCCACAUUGGGACUGAGACACGGCCCAGACUCCUACGGGAGGCAGCAGUGGGGAAUAUUGCACAAUGGGGGAAACCCUGAUGCAGCGACGCCGCGUGGAGGAAGAAGGUCUUCGGAUUGUAAACUCCUGUUGUUGAGGAAGAUAAUGACGGUACUCAACAAGGAAGUGACGGCUAACUACGUGCCAGCAGCCGCGGUAAAACGUAGGUCACAAGCGUUGUCCGGAAUUACUGGGUGUAAAGGGAGCGCAGGCGGGAAGACAAGUUGGGAGUGAAAUCCAUGGGCUCAACCCAUGAACUGCUUUCAAAACUGUUUUUCUUGAGUAGUGCAGAGGUAGGCGGAAUUCCCGGUGUAGCGGUGGAAUGCGUAGAUAUCGGGAGGAACACCAGUGGCGAAGGCGGCCUACUGGGCACCAACUGACGCUGAGGCUCGAAAGUGUGGGUAGCAAACAGGAUUAGAUACCCUGGUAGUCCACACCGUAAACGAUGAUUACUAGGUGUUGGAGGAUUGACCCCUUCAGUGCCGCAGUUAACACAAUAAGUAAUCCACCUGGGGAGUACGACCGCAAGGUUGAAACUCAAAGGAAUUGACGGGGGCCCCGCACAAGCAGUGGAGUAUGUGGUUUUAAUUCGACGCAACGCGAAGAACC